rnacentral:lncRNA from 1 species
UCUUCAAAAAAAUUAAAGAUAGAAUUACCAUAUGAUCCAGCAAUUCCGUUUCUGAGUAUAUACCCAAAAGAACUAAAACAGGGUGUUGAAGAAAUAUUUCUACCCACGUGUUCACUGCAGCAUUAUUCACAAUAGCUAAAAGGUGGAAGUAAGCCAGGCACCCAUGAGCAGAUGAGUGGAUAACCCAACUGUGGUCUAGCUACACAAUGGAAUAGUCAGCCUUGAAAAGGAAGGGAAUCACAUCACAUGCUACAACAUGCAUGAAGCUUGAGGACAUUUCCUAAGUGAAUGAAGCCAGCCACAAAGAAAAAUGCUGCAUGGUUCCACUCACAUGAGGUACCUAGACUGGUCAGAGUCACAGAAACAGAGAGUAGAAUGGUGGUUGUCCGGGGCUGGGAGGGGAGCUGGGGAGUUGGUGUUUAAUGGAUACAGAGUUUUAGUUUUGCAAGAUUAAAACAGUUAUAUAGAUAGAUGGUGGUGAUGGUUGCAUAACACUGUGAAUGUUAGAUAAUGCCACUGUAAAAAUGGUUGAAAUGGUAAAUUUUAUGUUUUUGAAUUUUACCAUAAAAAAAUGUGGCUAACACCAAGUCAGAAAACAGAAGUGGAUGAACAACACAGCAAAGCUCAGCCACACUUCCCAGCGGGAUCCCACGACUCUGAACAGCAUCUGUGAAGGGUCCUCCUCCUUUACCUGAUAAACUCAAACCUCUCAGGUUCAGUAUUCAGAAGCUAGCCACAGCUCUGCCCUACCCUCUUGUCUCUGAUCUUCCUUUCACUGUUUCCUCCCUGUCUCCACUCCAGAGACUCCAGUCCCACCAGAUUUCCCACCGAUCUGCUGACAUGAUGCUCCUGCCUCUGCCUGGACUGCUGACCUCCCCACGUGCUUCUCCCUGCUUAUCCAAGCGCCCCUUUCCCACUGAAAGCAUCUCAGAACCCUGAAGAAGCUGCAUCCCUGUACAUCUGUCACUGGCAGAACCAGGAACCAGAACGAGAUCUUAUCAUAAAACCUAUGGAAGAAAUCGAGGAUGUUUGCAUAGGACGUUUUUGGAGAAUUUGGCCUUUUGAAAGAAAAUGUAACUAAGCUCUGUGGUUCUGAAAGCUUCCUCUACCUGAGAUGAUUUCAAGAUCUCCAGGACACCUGUGGGUAUCAUUGGUAGAUGCUGUUCAGGUAGUUAAGGUGAUGUUGGUGAGUAUUAUUUGAUAAAAAUGCUGGAUAUUACAUUAACUCACUUCCAUUCUAGACUGCCAGUAACUACUAUCACCUACCUUUUACUUCACCUGAUAGAGAUAUGGGAGUUAAAAGAAAAUUUUUCAUCACUAAUGGUAGUCUUUGAGCUAUAUAAGGUCAGAAACAAAAAUAUCCAAGACUGAUUUCUUACCUUCAAAAAGUAGCAAGCAAGGUAAAAGCAAAUAAGCAGAUAACUUCCCAUUUAUCAGAGAUUGGGUGAAAUAGGACUACUAUGCACUCCAGGUUAGAGUCAAAGAUGCCUGCCAGUCACAAGGACCUGUAACCCGAUGCUUGCGGGCAUCUGUGAUGAAUCCUAGCCCCAGAUGAAAUACUCCCAGACCAAGUGGUUUGGCAGGGUCCAUUCCACAGGGGCAAUUUGCAUCUGGCAGCUGAUGAUGCCCUCUGUCCCCAUUAUAACCCACAAUCUAUAAUAGAGCUGCUUGGUUGCUGUAUUUUCUGAAAAAUAAAAAAAGACAAGCUUGUGACUAUCGAAGACCC